AUUGAACGCUGGCGGCAGGCUUAACACAUGCAAGUCGAGCGGAGAGAGGUAGCUUGCUACUGAUCUUAGCGGCGGACGGGUGAGUAAUGCUUAGGAAUCUGCCUAUUAGUGGGGGACAACAUUUCGAAAGGAAUGCUAAUAUCGCAUACGUCCUACGGGAGAAAGCAGGGGAUCUUCGGACCUUGCGCUAAUAGAUGAGCCUAAGUCGGAUUAGCUAGUUGGUGGGGUAAAGGCCUACCAAGGCGACGAUCUGUAGCGGGUCUGAGAGGAUGAGCCGCCACACUGGGACUGAGACACGGCCCAGACUCCUACGGGAGGCAGCAGUGGGGAAUAUUGGACAAUGGGCGCAAGCCUGAUCCAGCCAUGCCGCGUGUGUGAAGAAGGCCUUAUGGUUGUAAAGCACUUUAAGCGAGGAGGAGGCUACUUUAGUUAAUACCUAGAGAUAGUGGACGUUACUCGCAGAAUAAGCACCGGCUAACUCUGUGCCAGCCGCCGCCGGUAACAC
rnacentral:rRNA from 1 species